UAUUUCGGUUUAUCGCAUCUAUUGUUGAAUUGGCAAGAUGUCGGCAUAGCUGACGUUUCAAAGCGCAUUGCAUAGCGCUAUGCUGCAUCUAGUCAGUUAUUCAAUGGAACAGUCAACAGUCAUUAUA
rnacentral:precursor_RNA from 15 species